GCAGCGAAACGCGAUAGUUAAUGUGAAUUGCAGAAUUCAGUGAAUCAUCGAGUCUUUGAACGCACAUUGCGCCCAUUGGUAUUCCUUUGGGCAUGUCUGUUUGAGCGUCAUUACAACCCUCAGCUAACCGCUGGUUUUGGGCCCGAACGGCUUGACCGCCGCGCAGGUUUUAAAGUUGUAAGCUCUGCUGGCCGCUCUGCCCCCAACCGGAACAUAGUAAGCACUACUUUUGUUAAGGUGAAGCGGAACGGUACGGCCUGUAACAAAACCUACCCUUUUUUCUCAAGGUUUGACCUCAGAUCAGACAAGGAUACCCGCUGAACUUAAGCAUAUCAAUAAGCGGAGGAAAAGAAACCAACAGGGAUUGCCUCAGUAACGGCGAGUGAAGCGGCAACAGCUCAAAUUUGAAAUCUGGAGCCUUCGGCUUCCGAGUUGUAAUUUGAAGAGGAUGUUUCGGUUGCGACCUGGGCCUAAGUUCCUUGGAACAGGACGUCAUGGAGGGUGAGAAUCCCGUACAUGGCUGCAGGUUUGCUUCCAUGUGAAACUCCUUCGAAGAGUCGAGU
rnacentral:rRNA from 1 species